UACGAAGGGGGCUAGCGUUGCUCGGAAUCACUGGGCGUAAAGCGCACGUAGGCGGCUUUUUAAGUCAGGGGUGAAAUCCUGGAGCUCAACUCCAGAACUGCCUUUGAUACUGAGAAGCUUGAGUCCGGGAGAGGUGAGUGGAACUGCGAGUGUAGAGGUGAAAUUCGUAGAUAUCUGGAGGAACACCGGUGGCGAAGGCGGCAUCCUGGACCGGUAUUGACGCUGAGGCGCGAAAGCCAGGGGAGCAAACGGG
rnacentral:rRNA from 1 species